UCAUGCAUGAGAGUCCUGAUGGGUGACCCUAUAGUUCCCUGGCAGGUGCCACCAGAGAUUGUCUUUUUCAUGUUCCCAGUCAUUUUGCUUCAGGUGCUCAUUUUGAAGGGCCUUACAGAGAGGGAAGUCUGUGUUGUAUAUUGACUUCUAAUCAAGUUAUGGCCUCCAUCAGAGAUUACAGAGGGAGCCUGCAAACCCAUUGUGGAAAGGAAAGCAGCGGGGUCGCCCGUGCCCCUCAGCCAUGCCCAGCCCCAGCCUGUGGGUUUGGACAACCCUCCCGCCCGGGUCCUUCCACUGACUGACUAGGGGUGUAGAGACACUGCAGGAAUCAGAACAG
rnacentral:lncRNA from 1 species